rnacentral:rRNA from 1 species
UACGGGGGGAGCAAGCGUUGUUCGGAUUUACUGGGCGUAAAGGGCGCGUAGGCGGUCAGCACAAGUCAGUUGUGAAAUCUCCGGGCUUAACUCGGAAAGGUCAACUGAUACUGUGCGACUAGAGUGCGGAAGGGGCAACUGGAAUUCUCGGUGUAGCGGUGAAAUGCGUAGAUAUCGAGAGGAACACCUGCGGCGAAGGCGGGUUGCUGGGCCGACACUGACGCUGAUGCGCGAAAGCUAGGGUAGCAAACGGG